AUGCGAAAAAGGCAAAGUCUGUGAAAGCAGAUGACGCAAAGCUAUAGGGGCUUCAUUGGCCAAUGAAUUGGUCAUUAUGCCAGCCAGCUACCGAG
rnacentral:ncRNA from 1 species